GCUGGGUAUACAGAUCAGUUGGUAGAGUGCUUGCCUAGCAUGCACAAGGCCCUGGGUUCAAUCCCCAGCACCCCA
rnacentral:tRNA from 1 species